rnacentral:rRNA from 1 species
UACGGGGGUGCAAGCGUUAUCCGGAUUUACUGGGUUAAAGGGUGCGUAGGUGGGCCUGUAAGUCAGUGGUGAAAUCUUCAAGCUUAACUUGGAAACUGCCAUUGAUACUAUAGGUCUUGAAUUAUCUGGAGGUAAGCGGAAUAUGUCAUGUAGCGGUGAAAUGCUUAGAGAUGACAUAGAACACCCAUUGCGAAGGCAGCUUACUACGGAUUGAUUGACACUGAGGCACGAAAGCGUGGGGAUCAAACAGG